AUGUUGGACUCAAUGGCCUUUGGCUGGUUAGAGCAUGGUGUUGAAAAUGCCAAUGUUGCGGGUUCGAUCCCUGUAUGGGAUA